GCCAGGCAUGGUGGCGCAUGCCUGUAAUCCCAGUGGCUUGGGAGGCUGAGGCAGGAGGAUUAAGAGUUCAAAGCCAGCCUCAGCAAUUUAGCAAGGCCCUAAGCAACUCAGUGAGACCCUGUCUCUA
rnacentral:sRNA from 1 species